rnacentral:ribozyme from 1 species
CUUUUUUUUUUUUUUUUUUUUUUUUUUUUUUUUUUUUUUUUUUUUUUUUUGUUUAAUGCACCUUU